AACGAACGCUGGCGGCGUGCCUAACACAUGCAAGUCGCACGAGAAAGUUCUUCGGAACGAGUAAAGUGGCGCACGGGUGAGUAAUCCAUAGGAACGUGUCUUUAGGAGGGGAAUAACAACGGGAAACCGUUGCUAAUACCGCAUAAUCAGGUAACUGCAAAGACGGCCUCUAUUUAUAAGCUGUCACCUAAAGAGCGGCCUAUGUCCCAUUAGCUAGUUGGUGGGUAAAGACCUACCAAGGCAACGAUGGGUAGCUGGUCUGAGAGGACGAUCAGCCACACUGGAACUGAGACACGGUCCAGACUCCUACGGGAGGCAGCAGUGGGGAAUAAUUGCACAAAUGGGCGCAAGCCUGAUGCAGCAACGCCGCGUGAGUGAAGAAGGCCUC
rnacentral:rRNA from 1 species